AAGGCAAGCGUGGUGAUCACGACACCAUUAUUCGGAGUAUUUUUUUUUCUUAUAUUUCUUGAGGAUGGUUCAUGGUUAUAUUGAAAUUUCAUCCUAACGACGUUCGCUUUGGAUCGUAUAUAAAUCAGCUUGCAUGCUAGUCAAUGAUAUUGUAGAUGCUUUGCUUUUAAUGAUUUAAUUGUUGGGUUUAGUAAGCGUUAUAGCGCAGCAAAUGGUGACCAGGCCUCAAAAUAUUCGAUGACUUGUUGGACAUGUGUAUUGUGAUGUCCAAUGGAUGUCCGAUGACUUUGAGUUCAGUCCAGUUCAGACACAAAUUAAUAUAUCAGCACAAUUUGGAAAAGUCAUUUGAAUCUUGGCAAUGAAUUUCCGGACCCCACGGUGAAAACCCCGCACUUGUUUACACAUUUCCAGUUGACAGUUCACUUUUUAUACAUCACUCUGAUUCUCCGUUUAACAUACGAGCCUCUAGUCCUGGACUACGGGACAUUUUGAUUUACGUCGGACAAAGCAACAGUUCGUACGGAUACCAAUACACUCGGCUCGGACAAACAAUAAACCUCAGUUUCACUUAGGUCGGACAGAAUGUCCACUGGUUUCCUCUCUACGUCGGACAAUUUCACGAAUAGGUCGGACAAUGUCCGAUACCGACCAAUAUUUUAAAACCUGACUGUAGCAUGUAGGAAAUUACAUCUGUCAAUUCUAUUCGUUUGCAACCAAAUCCAGCACUACUGCAUAUAUAUACAAUGAAAGGAAUUAACGUUUUUCUCACUCUGAUAACUGUAGGGUCAUCGCGCGCCAUCGGCUGCACGAUAGUGCUUAAAUAAUGUGUACAGCUUUUCGAUAAAAAAAAUAUAGAAAUAUAUAUUAAUGUAAUGAAUUAUAUUGCUGUAAGGUCGCUUUGUAAAUUUAGAUGAAAUAUAUAUUUAUUCAGUAAAACAUGAAAUAAAAACAAUCCGUG